rnacentral:rRNA from 1 species
GACGAACGCUGGCGGCGUGCCUAAUACAUGCAAGUAGAACGCAGUUGCGAACGGGUGAGUAACGCGUAGGUAACUGCCUCAUAGCGGGGGAUAACUAUUGGAAACGAUAGCUAAUACCGCAUACUGUGAGAUGGACCUGCGUUGUAUUAGCUAGUUGGUGGGGUAAAGGCUCACCAAGGCGAAGAUACAUAGCCGACCUGGGAGGGUGCACGGCCAAAAUGGGACUGUGACACGGCCCAGAAUCCAUCGGGGAGCAGCAGGAGGGAAACUUUGGCAAUGGAGCGAAGUCUGACCGAGCAACGCCGCGGUAGUGAAGAAGGUGUUCGGAUCGUAAAGCUCUGGUGUUAGAGAAGCGGUAUCUAACCAGAAAGCGACGGCUAACUACGUGCCAGCAGCCGCGGUAAUAC